AUGGAGCUCAGCGACAGCGAGCUGGCGGGGGUGAAGAGCUACAGAGAGUACAUUGAGUUGAUGGAGAAGAAGGAGGAGCAACUUCGUAAAGACUGCGAGAUCAAGGACAAGCGGACAUAUGGGGAGCAGGAAAUCGAGGAACACCGUGAAGGCAGCAGGUCCUUUUGUUCCUUACUUUCGCCUUCCCCCGUCGCGGCAGAUUCUCAAUAUGGUCUUCCCAGGAAAUCCUUGCAGAUCUUCUCCAUCAAAGUCACCGACCUAAAAUAUGGUCUUAUCUGGCCACUGCAGGUUUAUGGCUCUGUUGCUUUCAGGAACUCGGUAGAACCUAAAGUAAAUUAUCUCUUCAGAUGCACCAGGGAUAACUGCCAAACCCUCACUCAGAAGGAUCCAUUUUUGCGCUUAACAGGCCCGUCUCGUGCCAUUUGGUUACUUGACAUGGUUUUCAUUGAUGUUCAGUUAAAGGUAAAGUGCAAAAAAGAGUCUGAAGAUGAAGUGCUGACUUACAAAUUUUCGGAUUUCCAUCAACUUUUUCCUUUUGAUCCUUCUAAACAUGUGAUACGAAGACCUAUUCCCUGCAAGCGCUGCACGCUUGAGCUUGAUUUGGCAAUGCUGCCUUCGUCAGUUGAGGCCACUGUGGGUGUCCGAGUUGUCGAUGGGUCAUGGCCUGAUCAGUGUGCGGGGCUGGUUGCUUGCAAUACCGAGAGUGUAAAAGGAGGGCAAGUGGUGCUGCUUGAUUUUCAAGAUGGAAAACUGCCUACCAAGUCUGAUGGUGUGGUUGAGCUUGUGAGGCGUGUUGUCUCUGUAGAUUACCCAGAGGGGAAACUGAUUGUUUCCGUGGAGGCCUCUCGGGAUGGGUUUUCUGCACAAUGUACAGUCGAAUUUGAGAUGCAAGCGUCAGGAAGAAGUACUGACAUGUGUGACCUUAUUUUCUGCAAGAUGGAGGUUACAGUUUGUUGGUCUACUCUUCUUCUGCAAAAUAUCCUUGAUUAG
rnacentral:rRNA from 1 species